UACGGAGGGUGCGAGCGUUGUCCGGAAUCACUGGGCGUAAAGGGCGCGUAGGCGGCGCGGUAAGUCGGGUGUGAAAUCUCGGAGCUUAACUCCGAAACUGCAUUCGAUACUGCCGUGCUUGAGGACUGGAGAGGAGACUGGAAUUUACGGUGUAGCGGUGAAAUGCGUAGAUAUCGUAAGGAAGACCAGUGGCGAAGGCGGGUCUCUGGACAGUUCCUGACGCUGAGGCACGAAGGUCAGGGGAGCAAACGGG
rnacentral:rRNA from 1 species